rnacentral:rRNA from 1 species
AGUGAACGCUGGCGGUAGGCCUAACACAUGCAAGUCGAACGGCAGCACAGUAAGAGCUUGCUCUUACGGGUGGCGAGUGGCGGACGGGUGAGGAAUACAUCGGAAUCUACUUUUUCGUGGGGGAUAACGUAGGGAAACUUACGCUAAUACCGCAUACGAACUACGGGUGAAAGCAUGGGAUCUUCGGACCUUGCGCGAUUGAAUGAGCCGAUGUCGGAUUAGCUAGUUGGGGGGGUAAAGGCCCACCAAGGCGACGAUCCGUAGCUGGUCUGAGAGGAUGAUCAGCCACACUGGAACUGAGACACGGUCCAGACUCCUACGGGAGGCAGCAGUGGGGAAUAUUGGACAAAGGGCGCAAGCCUGAUCCAGCCAUACCGCGUGGGUGAAGAAGGCCUUCGGGUUGUAAAGCCCUUUUGUUGGGAAAGAAAAGCAGCAGGUUAAUACCCCGCUGUUCUGACGGUACCAAAAGAAUAAGCACCGGCUAACUUCGUG